UACAGAGGGUGCAAACGUUGUUCGGAAUUACUGGGCGUAAAGCGCGUGCAGGCGGCCUUGCAAGUCGGACGUGAAAUCCCACGGCUCAACCGUGGAAGUGCAUUCGAAACUGCGAGGCUGGAGUCCUGGAGGGGAAAGUGGAAUACUCGGUGUAGAGGUGAAAUUCGUAGAUAUCGAGUGGAACACCGGUGGCGAAGGCGGCUUUCUGGACAGGUACUGACGCUGAGACGCGAAAGCGUGGGGAGCAAACAGG
rnacentral:rRNA from 1 species